AUAUCAAUAAGCGGAGGAAAAGAAACCAACAGGGAUUGCCCCAGUAACGGCGAGUGAAGCGGCAAGAGCUCAAAUUUGAAAUCUGGCCUCCCCCGGGGGCCCGAGUUGUAAUUUGCAGAGGAUGCUUCGGGUGCGGCCGCCGUCUAAGUUUCUUGGAACAGGACGUCAGAGAGGGUGAGAAUCCCGUCUUGGGCGGGCGGUCCGCGCCCGUGUGAAGCUCCUUCGACGAGUCGAGUUGUUUGGGAAUGCAGCUCUAAGCGGGUGGUAAAUUUCAUCUAAAGCUAAAUAUUGGCCGGAGACCGAUAGCGCACAAGUAGAGUGAUCGAAAGGUUAAAAGCACCUUGAAAAGGGAGUUAAACAGCACGUGAAAUUGUUGAAAGGGAAGCGCUUGCGGCCAGACUCGGGGGCGGGGUUCAGCGGGUGCUCGUCGCCCGUGUAUUCCUCGUCUCCCGGGCCAGCAUCAGUUUCGACGGCCGGUCAAAGGCCCCCGGAAUGUGUCGUCUCUCGGGACGUCUUAUAGCCGGGGGUGCAAUGCGGCCCGUCGGGACUGAGGAACGCGCUCCGGCUCGGAUGCUGGCGUAAUGGCCGUAAGCGGC
rnacentral:rRNA from 1 species